rnacentral:hammerhead_ribozyme from 1 species
AUCUGACUGACGAGUCUCAAACAGAACGAAACAUGCGUCCUGAAU